rnacentral:lncRNA from 1 species
CCAACUGGUCUAACAACCAAACUCAAGUUCCCUCGGCACAAUCUGAUGCAAAACAACAAUAUGGGUCCACCAUCAACCUCAACGGCACCCGACAGUCCGGAACAGCCUAAACACUGCUGUAAAAAUAAGCUCGAUAUUCCAGCACGAGCGUAGAAACAUUCUACACUAUCCUGAGUAUCCACUUCCCACCAACUGCGGUGAUACAAACAAACUACGGCUCCUAGAGCUAACUCCGGUAGUUUUAACAUAUGACAGUGUAGAAGCGCCAGUUUUCUCCUAAGUCAAUUCCAAUUCCAACAUGUAUUAUUUACUAAUAUUCUAAGCUUCAAUUCAGAUUAGAAACACAA